GGAAUAUUAAUGGAAAAACGCAUCUCCUCCUAUGAACCCAAGACACCCCAUUGACCCCGAGGGCACCUCUGAACUUGAGGUAUUUAUAUCAGCCCCAGCACCAUUUCAAAGCUGUGGGACAUGGCACUGGAGGCGUGCGAGAUCCUUUUUGGAUUUCUCUCUGAGGUCACGUCACAUUUUGACAUAGGACCCCUUAUUUGAUAGCAGCUUCACAAAUCUUGCAUCCAUUGAACUUGUGAGUAUUUGGACAGUUUCUGCUU